UUUUUGUCUGUCAUUGAGUUUCUGCAUGCAAAACUUUAGUCCCAAAUGGACCACACACUUUUUUUCAAAGACAGCCAGCUGCCUUACUGAAUGGGGAGAACUUUUCCCCUUUGCUGUCAGAAAUUCAGACAGAAGAGGCAUCUCCCCACCAGCUGCAUCUUUCUUCUUCAUGCUGAGAUCCCACAGGAUUUUCAGAAACCUGGAAAGAAAAUAGGAAUGCAAAUCCUUCCGACUUUCAGGGGACUUACGCACCAGCAUUGCUCAGGCAUUGCUGAAAAUUCAUCACCCAGAGCAUGAGUAGCAUUUAACGUCAACAGCUCUCCAUAUCAGAAGAGAAAAAGCACUUGUCUGUAAAAGGUUUGUGAGGAUGCAGUGUUCCGGAUUGGUAUUUGGAAAAUUUAAGUCAACCACCCAGAAAAUACUUCAGCACUUCGAUGAGCAUACAAGAUAAAUGUAUUGUGAACCGCAUCAUACUGGAAGGAAGAUGUGAAGGAAAACAGGAUGCUUUCAGUGAUGAGACAAACAUUUUAUGCAGAUGGUAGACGCUACAGAGAAAUGAAUGUUCCAAGCUGCUUACCAGCAAGUGAUGACACUGCCGUCUUGCCAAGAGAAAAUCUUUUCACCGCUUGCUAAAAUCAAAGUUGCCAUGCUGGUGGUCCAUAAAGA
rnacentral:lncRNA from 1 species